rnacentral:rRNA from 1 species
UACAGAGGGUGCAAGCGUUGUCCGGAUUUAUUGGGUUUAAAGGGUGCGUAGGCGGCCCUGUAAGUCAGUGGUGAAAUACUCUAGCUUAACUAGAGGGGUGCCAAUGAUACUGCAGGGCUUGAGUACAGAUGAGGUAGGCGGAAUUGACGGUGUAGCGGUGAAAUGCAUAGAUAUCGUCAAGAACACCGAUAGCGAAGGCAGCUUACUGGGCUGUAACUGACGCUGAUGCACGAAAAGUGUGGGGAUCAAACAGG